rnacentral:tRNA from 1 species
AUUUCUUUAGUAUAAAAAGUAUAGUUAACUUCCAAUUAACAGGUCUUACCAAGAAGAAAUA